AAACUACCGCAUUUGAAUCGCAGUCUGGGAAUGGUAGGAAGCGUGUACAGGUGCCAACAAGUGUAACAAUGUUAACUCCUGAGAUUGACAGAGAAUUUACAACACAUAACCGCAAACCUACUUAUAGGCUCCAAUGCCCCAAGGCAGGUCUUUUCCAGUGCAGUUCUACUGGACUGGUGUUUCUGAUGGAAGGGAAGGGAGAUGUGCUUUACAUGAUGACUCAAUGGGACAGCAGCCUCCUGGGCUCCAGGAUACCUGCAGGACCCCUAUUCAGCAUUGAAUGCCCUGAACAGUCUGUCCGCCAACUGCAUUUCCCACACUGUA